rnacentral:lncRNA from 10 species
CUUGGCCGCCUAACCAGCCUCCUCUGCAUCACUGACCUGUGCUCCGUUCUUCCAGAGGUGUGUGUCCUGCCUUCUGGCCUCCUGUGAUUCUCCACGCCCCCUCCCUCCACCUUGCCCGGCCAGGUCCAAGGACUCCAGGCUUGUCUAGCUUGGCAAAGCUUUGUUCUUGGUGUUCAGCUGGACCUGCAAACCUCCUAGACACCAGCAUCACAACACAGUCCUGGGGCAAUUCCCCCGAUCCCCACCCCAACCUCAGAGUGUCCUGGCCAGCUGGGGCCAUGGCUUCUGGGGAGGAUUUCCUGACUUAGGGAGUAAAGGGCCAACCAGGCGAGAAGAUGAGAAGACAGGCACGGGGACAUU